ensembl:lncRNA
CUGUCUGCAUAAAUAUAUGUAUUAUUAGAAAUAUAUAAAGAUUUUUUAUUUAUUUAUUUAUUUAUUUUUUUGCAUGCACAGCAGUUAAAAUACAUGGGACAUGCACAAAGCUACUUUUUUAAAAAAUGUAAACAUGCAGUUCUUUGUACAAAAAAAGUAACAGGACACCAAACUGUAUGUUGUUUGUUACCUCUUGACCCCUGUGAGGACAAAAGCAAUGAGACACACAAACUUUGUGAGCUAUAGCUAUUCGUGCACUGUGAAACGGAAGUUUUCACCCCAGUAAUUCCCGAAUGGAGGGAAAAAAGGAAAAAGUGUAAGUGUAAUUUUUCUUCUUUAUGAGUUACAAAGUCAUACCCACAUGCAUCAAAUGAAAUAGCUUUUCACUGGCACUCAAUAAUGGACACAAAAUCCUUCUUGCAGCUGUUGUGGGAUUGAUGUUGAACUCACACUGGGACAGAUGUCUUUGUCUGGCUUUGGGGCAGUGGAGUGUUAAACGGCCCCGGCAAGAGUGGCUCCCCCCACACACACUCACUGCCAGCCGAACCAAAUUGUACUUUAACUCCAGGAAAGAUGAAAUGCUGCCUCUCAUGAGGGUUGCUGUCUAUCCGGCAUCUCGUCGACAUUUAUGGAAGAAGAACUCGCCGUUGCGCGGUUUCCGCACGACUGACAAGCUCUGAAAAACGCAACGAUGGGCCGUGCCACCUGAUCUGUGGCAAAAAGUGUCCAUUCUCUCAGAUCGGGCCGUGGGAAUGUAUACAGUGUUAAAAACUGUCAGUGUCAAUCUGAUUUAACCUCUGAAACCCCAAAGCCCAACGGAGACACACUUUCAGACACCUCCCAGAUGUUUAUGUGGUUCUGAUGUGCAGCCACAUUUUUUUCCCAUGUACAUAACAAGCAAAGGUUUACAUGAGAUGAAUGAUUUUCUUUAAUUAUAAUAUAAUUUUUAUUUUUUUUGUAUCUGCCUAUUAUAAAAAUAAAGCAAAAAUGCAAAUACUUACA